rnacentral:lncRNA from 1 species
GCAUAGCAUAUAGCUGGGGAUCUUGGCAGUAAACAGAUUCCUGUUUAACACAACCCAACUUGUGACACUGAAUUAAACAAUUUAGUUAAAUAUUGUGCUUUGUAGCCCCUCUUAGCUCUUCUUCAACAGGAUCUGCCUUUUCCCUGGUAGAAAGGAGUUUCUGGUUUUUAUGCAUCUCAGUUUUACGUAAGGCCACAGGUUCUACCUCUCAAGUGAUAUCUCUAUGAAA